AUUCUCCCUGAAUCUUACCAACAAAACACUCCUGAGGAGAAAGAAAGAGAGGGAGGGAGAGAAAAAGAGAGAGAGAGAAACAAAAAACCAAAGAGAGAGAAAAAAUGAAUUCAUCUAAAUCAUCUGAAUCACAAUGCACAGAGAGAGGAUGCUUCUCUUCCCAAAUGUUCUUAUGGACUGUUGCUGGGAUCCCCAUCCUAUUUCUCAGUGCCUGUUUCAUCACCAGAUGUGUUGUGACAUAUCGCAUCUUUCAAACCUGUGAUGAGAAAAAGUUUCAGCUACCUGAGAAUUUCACAGAGCUCUCCUGCUACAAUUAUGGAUCAGGUAUAAUAGUCCCAAAGGUGAACAUCAAAAUUUACAUAGCAACAUUUUCUGGCUUCUAGAUUGACUUUGGGACAGGUGAGAUAUAGCUGGAUUAGGUCUUAUUUUUCAAAAGCAAAAUGUAAAAUCCUAGAAAUUUGGUGAUGCAAUUAGCAUUGGGGCAGAAAGUCUUGGGGACAUUAUAGUAAACUUUUAGAAUAAAUUUGAGGUGUAUGUCUGAACAGUAAAUCUGGAAGUGGAAGGUAUUAUUCCCAGGAGUGUAUUU
rnacentral:sRNA from 1 species